rnacentral:misc_RNA from 1 species
GAUGAAGAACGCAGUGAAAUGCGAUAAGUAAUGUGAAUUGCAGAAUUCAGUGAAUCAUCGAAUCUUUGAACGCACAUUGCGCCCGCCAGUAUUCUGGCGGGCAUGCCUGUCUGAGCGUCAUUUCAACCCUCAUGCCCCUAGGGCGUGGUGUUGGGGAUCGGCCAAAGCCCGCGAGGGACGGCCGGCCCCUAAAUCUAGUGGCGGACCCGUCGUGGCCUCCUCUGCGAAGUAGUGAUAUUCCGCAUCGGAGAGCGAUGAGCCCCUGCCGUUAAACCCCCAACUUUCCAAGGUUGACCUCAGAUCAGGUAGGAAUACCCGCUGAACUUAAGCAUAUCAAUAACGGAGGA